rnacentral:rRNA from 1 species
UACGUAGGGUGCGAGCGUUAAUCGGAAUUACUGGGCGUAAAGCGUGCGCAGGCGGUUCGUUGUGUCGGCGGUGAAAGCCCCGGGCUUAACCUGGGAAUGGCAUUUGGGACUGCAAGGCUUGAGUGCGGCAGAGGAGACUGGAAUUCCUGGUGUAGCAGUGAAAUGCGUAGAUAUCAGGAGGAAUACCGAUGGCGAAGGCAGGUCUCUGGGCUGACACUGACGCUCAUGCACGAAAGCGUGGGGAGCAAACAGG